GACGAACGCUGGCGGCGUGCUUAACACAUGCAAGUCGAACGAUGAACUGGAGCUUGCUCCAGGGAUUAGUGGCGAACGGGUGAGUAACACGUGAGUAACCUGCCCUUGACUCUGGGAUAAGCGCUAGAAAUGGCGUCUAAUACCGGAUACGAGCUUCAGCCGCAUGGCUAGGAGUUGGAAAGAAUUUUGGUCAAGGAUGGACUCGCGGCCUAUCAGCUAGUUGGUGAGGUAAUGGCUCACCAAGGCGACGACGGGUAGCCGGCCUGAGAGGGUGACCGGCCACACUGGGACUGAGACACGGCCCAGACUCCUACGGGAGGCAGCAGUGGGGAAUAUUGCACAAUGGGCGAAAGCCUGAUGCAGCAACGCCGCGUGAGGGAUGACGGCCUUCGGGUUUGUAACCUCUUUUAGUAGGGAAGAAGCGAAAGUGACGGUACCUGCAGAAAAAGCACCGGCUAACUACGUGCCAGCAGCCGCGGNUAUACGUAGGGUGCAAGCGUUGUCGGGAAUUAUUGGGCGUAAAGAGCUCUAGGCGGUUUGUCGCGUCUGCUGUGAAAUCUGGGGGCUCAACCCCCAGCCUGCAGUGGGUACGGGCAGACUAGAGUGCGGUAGGGGAGAUUGGAAUUCCUGGUGUAGCGGUGGAAUGCGCAGAUAUCAGGAGGAACACCGAUGGCGAAGGUAGAUCUCUGGGCCGUAACUGACGCUGAGGAGCGAAAGCAUGGGGAGCGAACAGGAUUAGAUACCCUGGUAGUCCAUGCCGUAAACGUUGGGAACUAGAUGUGGGGGCCAUUCCACGGUCUCCGUGUCGCAGCUAACGCAUUAAGUUCCCCGCCUGGGGAGUACGGCCGCAAGGCUAAAACUCAAAGGAAUUGACGGGGGCCCGCACAAGCGGCGGAGCAUGCGGAUUAAUUCGAUGCAACGCGAAGAACCUUACCAAGGCUUGACAUAUACCGGAAACGUCCAGAGAUGGUCGCCCCGCAAGGUCGGUAUACAGGUGGUGCAUGGUUGUCGUCAGCUCGUGUCGUGAGAUGUUGGGUUAAGUCCCGCAACGAGCGCAACCCUCGUUCUAUGUUGCCAGCACGUUAUGGUGGGAACUCAUAGGAGACUGCCGGGGUCAACUCGGAGGAAGGUGGGGAUGACGUCAAAUCAUCAUGCCCCUUAUGUCUUGGGCUUCACGCAUGCUACAAUGGCCGGUACAAAGGGCUGCGAUACCGUAAGGUGGAGCGAAUCCCAAAAAGCCGGUCUCAGUUCGGAUUGAGGUCUGCAACUCGACCUCAUGAAGUCGGAGUCGCUAGUAAUCGCAGAUCAGCAACGCUGCGGUGAAUACGUUCCCGGGCCU
rnacentral:rRNA from 1 species